GGGCUCCUCUGCCUACUAGAGGCACCAGCUUCCUGGCUGCCUGCCUGUUAAACUGAGUCUGUGUCUCUUUGUCAUUCAUUCUUGUUUGCUUCCGGGUCAGCGAGAACAAAGUCGUGGGUUUAGGUCCCCCACAUGUGGUGCCUGGGUGAGGAGAUCUCCAAGGAGUGGGCUGGCUCCCCACGGGUGGUGCCUGGGGCAGGAGGGACCUGCGACUGGUGUGAAGGCCAGCUGAGGGGGUUGGCUACAGUUGGCCCCUGAACAGGGGCUUUAGACUGCGGUCGGCUACAGUUCUGUGCAACUUUAUUUCGUGUGUAGUUCACGUAAUCAACACUGAAGUCAAAAUACAGAACUGUUCUCCCAGAAGGCUCUACCUUGCUAUGUCUUCAUAGCCAAUCCACUCGUCUCCCAUUUCUAACCCAUGACAACCAGUAACCUGUUUCCUAUCUCCAUCAUUUCCCUUCAGGUGAUGGACUGUAUCCUGCAGGAGGAAGAGUCUUCAUUCUAAUCACAAAAGCCGCAGUCAGCUUGUCAGAUUACACACCUUGCUUGUAAACAGGAGCAUUUCCUGGGGCAGCCCUCAAAGUCACCAUGUAAUUGAGGAAGCCACAAGAAAUAAUACUGUCCCGGGAAGAAAAUACUGGCAAAGAGAAUGAAAGAAGAGAACAACCCAGAGAAGAGAGCAUCUUACUGUUGCUUAACCUGUAAUGGAACAGCUAGAGUAGGAAGAUAGGGUUGACAGACUCAAGUGAGCAGGGAGCUCUGCCUGGCUACACCAGUGCCCUCCAUGUCCCUUUGGGUGGCUCCGCCAAUGCCUGCCUGUCUGCUGCUGCUGCCCUUGUGGUACCCUACAUGCCUGUGUCCCUUCAUCUCUGUCCUCAUGGGGCCCAACAGCUUCUACCUCCUGUUGCCUUCCAGUCUUCCAGAGCCCCCCACCCCUGCCCCGAAUUGUGCUACAAGGGACUGUGGGAAAACAAGCCUCAGGCUCGUGGGCUGUCUGCCUUGGGGAGAGCAGAGAAACAUCGCAGAGUGACAGUACCACCAUCAGUACCAAAAUGCGACUUCACUGUCACCUGACUGCUUUCUGGUGUCAUUUUUGUGGCACUGUUAUGAUGUUAGUGCAUUCAUGUACAGAGCUAGGCAUCAUCUGCUGCAGUGGGGAAGGAAGAAUAGGAAAAAGUAUAGGAGUCUUGUUCACCUCUCUCCCCAGCACCUGUCACGGUAUUCCACAGACAACAGACAUUCAAUAAAUAUUGGCGUCUUAGUAUGUGUUUCUCCUGUAGAGAGUUCCUAGUGUCCCUCAGAUGUCUCAGUCUCCAUGCUACUAGAGACUAUAUAAAUGAAUUGUAUGUUCCCUUUGGAGGAUAAUUUGUUAAGCUACAUCAAAGCCUGGAGAAUGUACAUAUUGUAUGGCCAGCAAUUUCUAGGAAUUUAUUAUAAAGGAAUAAUAGAACUAAUAUAUAAAAUGGCAUGUUUACAAUAUAGAAAAAUGUAAAUGUCCUUUCAUAGGAAAUGUGUUUGGUAUAUUUCUAGAAUGGGAUAUUAUGCAGUGAUUAAAAAUGAUGGUGAAUUUGAUUGACAUGUGUGAAGGUUUAAUCCUGAUUGUCAAGCUGAUUGAAUUAAGAGAUAGAUGACUACAGAGAUGACUGAUUUGUGAGGGCUCUAACUUCAUCAAUCAACCAACCCAUUGAUGAGUUCUUAGCUGAAUGGGCUACUGGGAGGUGGGGCAUAGUUGGGAGACGUAGGUCACUGAGGGGAGGGUUAUAUUGAAGGGUAUGACUUUUCUCAGGCUCGCUUUCCUUCCUGGCUUCCAUGGGGUCAGUGGCUUUCCUCUGCCAUGCCAGUUCACCUUAGUGCUUCUCCCUCACCACAAGCCUACAACAGUGGAAUAGGAUAACCAUGGACUGAAGCCUCUGAAACUGUGGGCCAGAAUAAAUCUUUCCUCCUUAAAGUUGUCUUUCUGGGGUAUCUAGUUACAGCAAUGAAAAGCUGACUAACAUGAACAGAUAAUAUUUCAACUGAAGUAAUUCAGAAGAAUAUAUAUUUUCUCAAUGUUGAAAAAGAAUAAAGCAAAUUGUAUUACAGAAACAUUAAAAAAAAUUCAAGCAUGCAGAGCUGGAAACCACACGUUUCUUAUGUGAGUUCAUCAGUUGUGAAUGAAGGAAG
ensembl:lncRNA